UGGCCGCCCCGGUGCCCUCAGCCCUUUCUUCCAAGCCGCCUGCCCAGGACCUGGCCUCCUCUCACUGCAGUGCCCCUGCUCUGGCCUCUGCUGGCUCACGCCCAGUCUCAACUCUUUGCCUGUCCCCUCUCUGUUUCCCCCAGGUAUCUUCCUCCUCUAGCUCUCAAACCCUUCCUCCUCUCUGGUCACCAGCACUACUGCCCUACCAUUAAACAUGAACUGAGCUAUCAGCACAACAGCCACCACCUACUGUGCGCCUACUGUGUACCAGGCUGAGGCCUUCACAGAUGAUAACACUGGAUCCGACUUGAAAGACAUCAGAGGACAAGGCAAAAGCAUGAGAGGAGGGGCAUGCUGGGCCGAGGAACAGCCUGGGUGAAGGUGUGGAGAUUUGAAGGUGCACAGCAAGGCUGAGGACCUGCAACGGCAGCCCCGAGUCUAUGUUUCUGGGAUGGAUGUGUCAAGGAAAAAAAAAGAGGCUGAAGUUGAAAAAUUCCAACUCAACACAUGUCCUCCAGCCCUAGGAGACGUGACAAGGGAUUAAAACGCCUUUUCUCCUCAUUUGCCCAGCAUCUCGGGAGAAAGCGAAAUUGCAUUCCCGUCAGGGCUAUUCCAGGCACCUGCUGGCUACGAA